GUUUCAUCUCUGAUUGACGGGUGUAAUUGUGUGGAACGCACUGUUAAUUGACUUAAACUUGAUGAACACUCCAAAUGUAUUUCCAUUCUUCCAUGGUGUCACAAGUACAUCAUAUUGAUGGAAUGCAGUCUGAUGUUUCUCCGUGGAGUGGUUGAACAGUGUCUUCACUAGUGGGAACAAGCGUGUGAAGUUUCAACUUCUUACAGUUGGUUGCAGAGCCUAGGGCACAUUUUAGAGAACUCAGGAGCAUCAUCCAAAGGUCAAAUCAAGACAUUCCACUCCCUUCCCAGCAUGAACCUUUCAACACUAGCAGUGAGUGAUGGAGCAGAUUGCUGAGAAGAUUGGACCCACUGCUUAGACUAUCUCUCCAGGAUACCAUGGCUCCGAUAUGUGUAAGAAAGAUUAUGACAAGAUUCGAAAGUAUAUGUUGACAGUUGUGACAUGUUAUUGUGAAACUAACGGAUUCAUGUUCGUUCAU